AAAAGUUGCAGUUCAGAAAAUGGUUGUGGAUCUAAUGGAGCUAUACCUACACAGGUUAAAACAAAAAAGGCCUCCAUACCCCAAGACUCCAGCUAUGGCUGAAUUUGCAUCUCAGUUUCCUUUUGAACCCACACCGGAUCAGAAACAGGCAUUCUCAGAUGUAGAAAGGGACUUGACAGAGAGUGAAAAUCCAAUGGACAGAUUAAUUUGCGGAGAUGUUGGUUUUGGUAAAACUGAGGUUGCACUGCGUGCCAUCUUCUGUGUAGUCUCUGCAGGGAAGCAAGCUAUGGUUCUAGCGCCAACAAUAGUUUUAGCUAAGCAACAUUUUGAUGUUAUCUCAGAGAGAUUUUCAAGAUAUCCUAACAUAAGAGUUGGACUUCUUAGCAGGUUUCAGACCAAGUCAGAGAAAGAGGAGUACUUGAGUAUGAUUAAAGACGGCCAUGUGGACA
rnacentral:misc_RNA from 1 species